rnacentral:rRNA from 1 species
GAUGAACGCUAGCGGCAGGCUUAACACAUGCAAGUCGAGGGGCAGCACGGGUAGCAAUACCUGGUGGCGACCGGCGCAAGGGUGCGUAACGCGUGAGCAACAUGCCCUAUACAGGGGGAUAAUCCAGGGAAACUUGGUCUAAUAUCCCAUAGUAUUUAGAGGAGGCAUCUUCUAUAAAUUAAAGCUUCGGUGGUAUAGGAUUGGCUCGCGUGACAUUAGCUAGAUGGUGAGGUAACGGCUCACCAUGGCAAUGAUGUCUAGGGGUUCUGAGAGGAAGGCCCCCCACACUGGGACUGAGACACGGCCCAGACUCCUACGGGAGGCAGCAGUGAGGAAUAUUGGACAAUGGAUGGAAAUCUGAUCCAGCCAUGCCGCGUGCAGGAAGACAGCCCUAUGGGUUUAAACUGCUUUUAAUGGGAGCAAUAAGGUCUACGUGUAGACUGAUGAGAGUACCAUAUGAAUAAGCU